CUGCUGUGAUGAGGGUUUGUUCUGAUCUGGUAUUGGUUUCUCUCCGGGGAAAACUCUGACCAGAGAAUGAUCUGACGUUAAUCUUCUCUCUGAGCAC